UUGUUACGACUUCACCCCAGUCAUGAAUCACUCCGUGGUAACCGUCCCCCUUGCGGUUAGACUAGCUACUUCUGGAGCAACCCACUCCCAUGGUGUGACGGGCGGUGUGUACAAGGCCCGGGAACGUAUUCACCGUGACAUUCUGAUUCACGAUUACUAGCGAUUCCGACUUCACGCAGUCGAGUUGCAGACUGCGAUCCGGACUACGAUCGGUUUUAUGGGAUUAGCUCCACCUC
rnacentral:rRNA from 1 species